GUCUUCGUAGCUCAAUGGAUAGAGCGCAGGCCUCCGGAGCUUGAUAUCUGGGUUCGAUUCCCAGCGAGGACACCA
rnacentral:tRNA from 1 species